GUAUAGUAUGAUGUGAAAUGUUGUGAUGUGCCAUGAUCUCAUGUACGUUCAUGUCAUUAACCAUUUCCUUGCCAUCCAAUAACUACAUUUUCUAAGCAGGUUACUAGCUUGUUUAACUGCUAUAGGCGGAAUUACUGAAGAGUCAGUAAUAAAUGUAGUGAGGGAUGAAGUUAUAAAAAUAGAAUUAGAGAGAAUAUAUAUGUUGAUGAAUCGUAAUGAUGUGUUGUCCUAGG
rnacentral:lncRNA from 1 species